CUGGGGUUCAGAGGUUCAGGGGUUCUGGGGUUCUGAAACGGAAGAGACACAAAAGCAGGGCUACCUUUGCCGCAGCAGAUCUCCUCCUUGGAGCAGCUCCGCUUUCUCUAGGUUGUCGAUGGCAAUUUUGCAGGUGAGAUUGGC